AACACACAUCGUCAUGGCGUCAGUAAUGAAUGGUACAGUCCAUCGUAUCUGAGAUCGUCACUCUAGCUUCUCUCUGCGUGCGUGCUUGUAGUUUCCUGUGAAGGGUUGAUGCAGGAGAUAACCAUGGCGGCCACUGAGAUAGCGCGACAAGCGGGAGAGGGUGCACGUGCCGUCCCACUCUCUGGUCAUGUUGGCUUUGACAGCAUGCCAGAUCAGCUGGUCAACAAGUCCGUCAACCAUGGCUUCUGCUUCAAUAUCCUCUGUGUGGGGGAGACGGGUUUGGGAAAGUCCACCCUCAUGGACACCCUGUUCAACACCAAAUUUGAGGGUGAACCUACACAGCACAAUCAGCCUGGAGUGCAGCUCAAGUCCAACACUUACGAGCUGCAGGAGAGCAACGUUCGUCUCAAGCUCACUGUGGUCAACACUGUAGGCUUUGGAGAUCAGAUCAACAAAGAGGACAGUUACAAGUCAAUUGUGGAGUUCAUUGAUGCUCAGUUUGAAGCGUACCUUCAGGAGGAACUGAAGAUUAAACGCACCCUACACAGUUAUCAUGAUACACGGAUCCAUGCCUGUCUGUAUUUUAUUGCUCCCACUGGACACUCACUAAAGUCCCUUGACCUGGUUACUAUGAAGAAGUUGGACAGUAAGGUGAAUAUCAUCCCCAUCGUUGCCAAAUCAGAUGCCAUCUCAAAGAGUGAACUUGCUAAGUUCAAAAUUAAGAUCACAAGUGAAUUGGUGAGCAAUGGUGUCCAGAUCUACCAGUUUCCCACUGACGAUGAGACCGUGGCAGAGAUCAACUCAACAAUGAAUGGUCAUUUGCCUUUUGCGGUAGUGGGAAGCACUGAGGAAGUGAAGAUUGGGAACAAGAUGGUUCGAGCACGCCAGUACCCCUGGGGAACCGUCCAGGUGGAGAAUGAGAAUCACUGUGAUUUUGUGAAGCUGAGAGAAAUGCUGAUAAGGGUCAACAUGGAGGACCUGCGAGAACAGACUCACACUCGCCAUUAUGAGCUGUACCGCCGUUGCAAGCUGGAGGAGAUGGGAUUCAAAGACACUGAUCCUGACAGCAAACCCUUCAGCCUACAGGAAACAUACGAGGCCAAAAGGAAUGAGUUUAUGGGUGAGCUGCAGAAGAAAGAGGAGGAAAUGAGGCAAAUGUUUGUCCAGAGAGUCAAAGAGAAGGAGGCAGAGCUGAAAGAGGCAGAAAAGGAGCUUCAUGAAAAGUUUGACCGUCUUAAGAAGCUUCACCAGGAUGAGAAGAAGAAACUCGAGGACAAGAAGAAGUCUCUCGAUGAUGAGCUGAACAGCUUCAAGCAGAAGAAGACCGCUGCUGAGCUGCUGCAGGCCCAGACCCAGCAGGCAGGGAGCUCCUCCACACUUAAGAAGGAUAAAGAGAGGAAAAAUUGAUUUGCCUCAAGUUGAUCACCUGACAAUUAAUUGGAAAGAAGACACUUGCAUUGACAAGUUCAGGAUUCCUGUAGAAAGUGCUCCCCCUGCCCGCUGUGAAUGAGCUCUUCCCUCCUCAGUGUUCCUGAGCCAUGCUGUUCCCAUUCCCUCCCCCCCUCUCUCUUCCGUUCCCCCAGUUUCACGCAUAACGCACCUGAGGAGGGAUAUUAACUGUGAAUGGAAUCCUUCUUUAGAUGGUUUAACUCCUUUUUUUUAUGACAUGCUAUUGUUUCUUUUUCUUUGUGUAACUUGCUGUGUUAUGAUAUCAUGAUGAUAUUGCUUUGCUCUGCAUGACUAGUGUUUGAUUCAACUUUAACACGAGUGGCUACUGUUAUGGGUAUGCAGUAGUUGAGUACACAGGUUAAAAUGGGACAAAUUAUAUUAGUAAUACCAUAAUUGUCAUUAGUGUUAUAAUAGAAAGAUGUAUGAGCUGCUUUCAGUUCGGUCCUGCAGUAAGAUUUAAGGCUUUUUUUUAUCCUAGUUUCCAACAGAUUGGUUAGAAUUUAGGAACGUUAGUAAUGAUAUUUUUAGCUCAUGUAUGUUAUACAGAUGUUAUACAACCGGUCAUUGCUAUGCUUGUAUUAGUUUAGAAAAACUUUGGCACAUUUCAUCCAAAUGUAAGCACAUUUUUAUAGCUUUUUAUUUUUGUGACAUUUUAUUUUUCACAAAAUUAAUAAUAAAAAAUAAACUUUCUAAUAUCGAUUGCAAAAGGGACUAAUAUUUGCAUCAGUAAUAAAGGGCAUUCUUUCAUAAACCUUUAAACUGUGCGCAAGUCAUUGUGUAUGAAUAUCAGACAAUGUAAUUCUACAUAUUAUUAUUUGCACUAUUCAUAAAAUGUUUAUGCACUCGGGGUGACAUGGCCAGUGUUUGAUUUGCUUACUCUGCAUUGAAAAAUCUUGAUUCCUCAGUUGAUGCUUUGAUUAUUUGCUUUAGGGAGAAGCUGGACUUUCACGUUUGGAGCAAUUUACUACAUCUGUAUGCUUAACUGAGCAUAUGUAAUAAGACUAAAUAUACAUCUGAAUUUAUUGUCUAAGGGUUCGGCCUAUAUUCUCAAGUGAAGUGUUUGACAAAUUAACUGAACUUCAUUAUAAGAUCCUUAUAUGACCAAAUUCUGUCUAGGUGAGUCAGUUUUCUGACUCGCUGCAGGAAAUGACAGUUUCUUAAGUUGUAACUUAUAUUUUCAAAGCUACGGUUAAAUAUACCAGACUAUUCAGCAAAAAAAAAAAAAAAGUUGGUUCUGUGCUGGAUGAGUGUUUUGUGUUGUAUCUGGAUGCUGGUCUUUCAACAGGUGGCAUUUAUGUGAUUGAUAUUUAUCACCUAUUAACGCUUUUGCUCCCUCCAGCGUCCCUGCUCACUGCCGUGUGUGUAUUUACUUUCCUUUGCAGUAUUCCCUGGCUCUGCACUGAGUAGUAUGGCUUUGAUAAGGGACCAGGCCCAGACUCUUUGGUUAACCCGGUAGCCCAAGGGGAGGCAGUGUGGACCAAGCUGUCUCAUAAGUCACCUCUUGUAUUUUGAUUUUGGGCUCUUUCUGCAGCUUUUACUAACACUGUAAUUAUUGUGUUACCAAAACCUUUGCUUUAGGCUGUGCUUUUUUUGCAGUGUAUCUUUUGUGAUGCUUUGUGUGACUAAUAUGCUUAAAGGGAAUAGUUCACCCAAAAAUAUUAACCUGCUGAAACUUUAGUCACUCUCUGACCAAGAAGAUGUAGAUGAGUUUGUUUCUUCAUCAGAACAAAAUUGGAUAGGCUAGCAUUACAUCACUUGCUCACCAAUGGGUUCUCUGCAGUGAAUGGGUGCCGUCAAAAUGAAAAUUCAAACGGCUGAUAAAAGCAUCAACUCAAAGUUUUCACCCAUUCACUUCAGAUGAUCAAUUGGUUAGUAAGUAACGUAAAACUUAAUUUCUCCAAAUCUGUUCCAGUGAUGAAAGAAACUUAUC